GCUGCUGCACUGUCUCCAAGCCGUUACGUCGCCACUCAUCUCUUCACUGUCACUGCUCAACACCAUCGUCGUAUCCUCUGUCACCAGUUCGAAGGUGUGUAUGAUUUUGAUAGUGAUGAUGAACUGCAAUGGCUAAUUGAGAUACAGAAGCAAUAGGUGCUGGAAAUUUCAUACGUGCGUGCUAAACUAGGG